UAAGAAAAAAAUAAAAGCUAAAAGGGGAAAGUUAUCAAACGCCGUUGUCCAAGAGCAUUUCUCCAUUUAGAAUGCUUAUUUAUCUAUGUUCCUCCAAAAUGGCCCCAAAUUCUUUGAAUUAUUGUUGAGCUUGAGUGAAUUCCAUAUAUACGCUUAAUAUCUCACGAGUGUUAUGGAAUCGAUCUCCUGGAAGACUUCUUCAACUCAAAAAGGGUUCCAACAACAGAUCUAGGAGCUUGUAGCCUCAACCCGACAAUCUUCGUUAAGAAUCAGCCUUGUUGAUAAUUCCUCUUGAAUCUUUUCUUCUACGCAGAAUGAGCUCCAAAGAACUGAUACCACUGUGAAGAGGUCCAUCUCCAAGAGAUGUGAAUAUGAUGGUAUCAGCUGCUCAAGCAAGAUGAUUUAGUUGAUCACUCCAUUUGGUACAUGUCAUCUUCCAAUGGUUGAUACGACCUCAGCUAAGAGACGCUUGACUUCGAAUUUAAAGGAAUGGUAGUGUUCCUUGGAAUCAGGACGGUCAUAAGUCCUCUGGCAGUUUCGAGUCCUACAGAUAAAGAGGUGAUAUCCAAAAGGCGCAAAUCUUUAACCUUCUCAUUACCCUCUCCACUAAGAAUGGCUGCUUGCACAGCAGCUCCGUAAGCAACAGCUUCGUCGGGGUUGAUGCUCUUGCAAAGCUCCUUCCCAUUAAAGAAGUUCUGCAACAGCUCUUGCACCUUGGGAAUUCUAGUUGAUCCACCAACAAGAACAAUUUCAUGGACACUGUCCUUGUCCACUCUAGCAUCCCUCAAACAUAUCUCAAUUGGAUCCACACACUUCUUGAAGAGUUCCAUGUUCAGCUCCUCAAAUUUGGCACGCGUGAUGCUGGAUUUGAAGUCAAUUCCCUCGUAUAGUGAAUCAAUUUCAACAGUUGCCUGUUCGGCUGAAGAAAGAGUUCUCUUCGCCCUCUCACAAGCUGUCCUCAAUCUUCUUAAAGAUUUAGGAUUACUCGUUAAGUCCUUCCUAUGCUUUCUCUUGAAAUCCAGGACCGACCAAUUUCUGGUCAAAAUCUUCUCCUCCAAGAUGAGUAUCUCCCGUUGUAGAUUUGACCUCAAAAAUUCCCUCUUCAAUAGUGAGAAGGGAGACAUCAAAAGUACCACCACCAAGAUCGAAGAUAAGCACAUUCUUCUUACCUACACUGCUAGCUUUUUUAUCCAGGCCAUAAGCAAUGGCAGCAGCCGUAGGCUCAUUGAUAAUACGUAUGACAUUUAGACCAGCAAUGACGCCAGCAUCCUUAGUAGCCUGACGAUGCGAGUCAUUGAAGUAUGCAGGUACGGUUACCACAGCAUUCUUUACAGUUGAUCCAAGGAAAGCCUCAGCAAUUUCCUUCAUCUUUAUAAGCACCAUAGAUGAGAUUUCUUCAGGAGCAAAGUUCUUCUCUUCACCCUUAAAGUUCACACCAAUCAUUGGCUUGUCAUCAGGUCCAGUAAUAACUUUAAAUGGCCACAAUUUCAUGUCACUCUGUACAGUGGGAUCAGUAAUCCUCCUCCCGAUAAGGCGCUUCACAUCUGCCAAUGUGCCAGGUGCAAUUAGCUCUAUUUUAUCCACAAACUAAUCUCUUUCCAAAAUAAAUCAUAUGACUAAUAUUUUUGUAAUGUUUCUGUCAUUCAGCUUUAAUAAACUUAUUAUAUUCGAAAACCAGGCAAAAUAAAGACCUGCGACAACACAAAAUCUCUAAUUACGAUCUGAAACGGAAACUGAUGUUAUACUAUUAAAUUAACUGUAAGUUAAGCACAACAGACAGUAUUGCUAUA